AGGGAUAAGGGACGCCCGGUCUGGUGACGGUGUACAACCUGAGCCGGGCUGGGCCGCAGAGAAAUGGCCUGGGCGACUGUUUACUAAAAACACACGUCUCUGCCAAGUCGUAAGACGACGUAUAGGGACUGACACCUGCCCGGUGCUGGAGCGUUAAGGGGAGAGGUCAGAAUACGCCUAACCGUGUAUUCGAAGCUUUGAACCGAAGCCCCAGUAAACGGCGGCCGUAACUAUAACGGUCCUAAGGUAGCGAAAUUCCUUGUCGGGUAAGUUCCGACCCGCACGAAUGGUGUAACGAUUUGGGCACUGUCUCAACCCGGGGCUCGGCGAAAUUGCAGUAGCGGUGAAGAUACCGUUUUCCCGUGGAAGGACAGAAAGACCCCGUGGACCUUUACUGCAGCUUGAUAUUGGGUUCCGCCGUGGCGUGUGUAGGAUAGGCGGGAGACUUUGAAGCCCGGUCGCCAGAUCAGGUGGAGUCAACGUUGAAAUACCGUCCUCGUUUCGUUGGAACUCUAACACGGGUCCGUGAUCCGGAUCGUGGACAGUGUCUGGUGGGCAGUUUGACUGGGGUGGUCGCCUCCCAAAAAGUAACGGAGGGGCCCAAAGGUUCCCUCAGCGCGGUCGGUAAUCGCGCGUCGAGUGCAAAGGCACAAGGGAGCUUGACUGCGAGACGGACAGGUCGAGCAGGUACGAAAGUAGGGCUUAGUGAUCCUGCGGUCCCGAGUGGAAGGGCCGUGGCUCAACGGAUAAAAGGUACCCCGGGGAUAACAGGCUGAUCGCCACCGAGAGUUCACAUCGACGUGGCGGUUUGGCACCUCGAUGUCGGCUCAAUGCAUCCUGGGGCUGAACAAGGUCCCAAGGGUUCGGCUGUUCGCCGAUUAAAGCGUUACGCGAGCUGGGUUUAGAACGUCGUGAGACAGUUCGGUCUCUAUCCUCCACGGGUGUAGGAAGCUUGAGGGGAUCUGUCUUCAGUACGAGAGGACCGAGACGGACGCACCUCUAGUGUACCAGUUGUCCCGCCAGGGGCACCGCUGGGUAGCUACGUGCGGACCAGGAUAAGCGCUGAAAGCAUCUAAGUGCGAAACCGGCCCCAAAACUAGGCUUCCCGACCGAAAGGUCCUCAAGGCCACUCGGAGAUUACGAGUUUGAUAGGCCGCAGGUGUAAGCACAGUAAUGUGUUCAGCCGAGCGGUACUAAUCGGCCGUGCGGCUUCAUUAC
rnacentral:rRNA from 1 species